rnacentral:rRNA from 1 species
CGGAGGGUGCAAGCGUUGUCCGGAUUCACUGGGUUUAAAGGGUGCGUAGGUGGGCAGGUAAGUCAGUGGUGAAAUCUCCGAGCUUAACUCGGAAACUGCCAUUGAUACUAUCUGUCUUGAAUUAUCUGGAGGUGAGCGGAAUAUGUCAUGUAGCGGUGAAAUGCUUAGAUAUGACAUAGAACACCAAUUGCGAAGGCAGCUCACUACGGAUAUAUUGACACUGAGGCACGAAAGCGUGGGGAUCAAACAGGAUUAGAUACCCUGGUAGUCCACGCCCUAAACGAUGGAUACUCGACAUCAGCGAUACACUGUUGGUGUCUGAGCGAAAGCAUUAAGUAUCCCACCUGGGAAGUACGAUCGCAAGAUUG